AUUGAACGCUGGCGGCAGGCCUAACACAUGCAAGUCGAGCGGAUGAAGGGAGCUUGUUCCUGGAUUCAGCGGCGGACGGGUGAGUAAUGCCUAGGAAUCUGCCUGGUAGUGGGGGAUAACGUCCGGAAACGGGCGCUAAUACCGCAUACGUCCUGAGGGAGAAAGUGGGGGAUCUUCGGACCGCACGCUAUCAGAUGAGCCUAGGUCGGAUUAGCUAGUUGGUGGGGUAAAGGCCUACCAAGGCGACGAUCCGUAACUGGUCGGAGAGGAUGAUCAGUCACACUGGAACUGGGACACGGUCCAGACUCCUACGGGAGGCAGCAGUGGGGAAUAUUGGACAAUGGGCGAAAGCCUGAUCCAGCCAUGCCGCGUGUGUGAAGAAGGUCUUCGGAUUGUAAAGCACUUUAAGUUGGGAGGAAGGGCAGUAAGUUAAUACCUUGCUGUUUUGACGUUACCAACAGAAUAAGCACCGGCUAACUUCGUG
rnacentral:rRNA from 1 species